rnacentral:ncRNA from 1 species
UAAAAGGGAAUGAGGUUCUCCCGUAGUGUAAACUAAAACCGCUUUUAAAGCUGAUGACUUCUGCAAA